rnacentral:rRNA from 1 species
UACGUAGGGGGCAAGCGUUGUCCGGAUUUAUUGGGCGUAAAGAGCGUGUAGGCGGCCUGAAAGGUCAGCUGUGAAAACUCGAGGCUCAACCUCGAGACGUCGGUUGAAACCAUCUGGCUAGAGUCCGGAAGAGGAGAGUGGAAUUCCCGGUGUAGCGGUGAAAUGCGUAGAUAUCUGGAGGAACACCGGUGGCGAAGGCGGUUCUCUGGGCCUGUACUGACGCUGAGGAGCGAAAGCGUGGGGAGCGAACAGG